AUUGAACGCUGGCGGCAGGCCUAACACAUGCAAGUCGAACGAGUGGCGGACGGGUGAGUAAUGUAUGGGAAACUGCCUGAUGGAGGGGGAUAACUACUGGAAACGGUAGCUAAUACCGCAUACCAUCGGAUGUGCCCAUAUGGGAUUAGCUAGUAGGUGGGGUAAAGGCUCACCUAGGCGACGAUCCCUAGCUGGUCUGAGAGGAUGAACAGCCAAACUGGAACUGAGACACGGCCCAGACCCCAACGGGAGGCAGCAGUGGGGAAUUUUGGACAAUGGGGGAAAGCCGGAUGCAGCCAUGCCGCGUGUAUGAAGAAGGCCUUCGGGUUGUAAAGUACUUUCAGCGGGGAGGCGUUACCCGCAGAAGAAGCACCGGCUAACUACGUGCCAGCAGCCGCGGUAAUUC
rnacentral:rRNA from 1 species